rnacentral:rRNA from 1 species
CCUCAAAUCAGGUAGGACUACCCACUGAACUUAAGCAUAUCAAUAAGUGGAGGAAAAGAAACUAACAAGGAUUCCCCUAGUAACGGCGAGUGAAGCGGGAAGAGCCCAAAUUUAAAAUCUGGCAGGCUACGCUUGUCCGAAUUGUAAUCUCGAGAAAUGUUUUCCGCGUUGGCCUGUGUACAAGUCCCUUGGAACAGGGCGUCAUAGAGGGUGAGAAUCCCGUCCUUGACACAGACACCCAAUGCUUUGUGAUACACUCUCAAUGAGUCGAGUUGUUUGGGAAUGCAGCUCAAAAUGGGUGGUAAAUUCCAUCUAAAGCUAAAUACUGGCGAGAGACCGAUAGCGAACAAGUACCGUGAGGGAAAGAUGAAAAGCACUUUGGAAAGAGAGUCAAACAGUACGUGAAAUUGUUGAAAGGGAAACGAUUGAAGUCAGUCGUGCCUGCCUAGUCUCAGCCUUUUGGUGUACUACUAGGUCGGCAGGUCAGCAUCAGUUUGGGAGGAUUAACAAGGGAGCUAGGAAUGUGGCAACCUCGGUUGUGUUAUAGCCUAGUUUCGCAUUGAUCUUGCUGGACUGAGGAACGCAGUGCGCCCGCAAGGGUUGGUCUUCGGACACAUUCGCACUUAGGAUGCUGGCAUAA